UACGUAGGUGGCAAGCGUUGUCCGGAUUUAUUGGGUUUAAAGGGUGCGUAGGUGGCUAACUAAGUCAGUGGUGAAAUAUCUCAGCUUAACUGAGAGGGUGCCAUUGAUACUGGAUAGCUUGAGUACAGAUGAGGUAGGCGGAAUUGACGGUGUAGCGGUGAAAUGCAUAGAUAUCGGCAAGAACACCGAUAGCGAAGGCAGCUUACCAAGCUGUAACUGACACUGAGGCACGAAAGUGUGGGGAUCAAACAGG
rnacentral:rRNA from 1 species